GGCAGCUGUUCCUCUAUGAGUGUUUCAGUAGACUCAGGCUGCUGUCAAGGCUCACAUUAACCAACCAGUGCAUGUGCAGAACAGGCCAGCAGAGAGAGUGCAAGAUUAACAGAACAAGAGCUGCCAGGUCCUGGAAGCAGUGUGGAGGCAGAGAAGACAGGCGUGUGUUGUUAACUGGUUGACAAGCAUGGCUACAGUCUGACCUUGGCUUCUCACAGACCCCCUAGCAAGUCAUCAUGAUUCUAAGAACUGUCAUUCAACCUUUGGUCUUGCAAUGUAUUGAAAAGAGAACAGCUUUUGGAGAUCCACAUACCUCUCUUCCUGUGGCUUGUAGAUAAAGAAAAUGAAGCUCUGAGGUUCAGGUUGAAUAUGUGAUAAUAAAUGGUCAGAUGGAUUUGAAUUCACAUCUACUUGAUUCUUAUGCUGAUGAUCUUUCUCCCUCAGCACUGCCUCGUAAUUGAAAAAUAAAU
rnacentral:lncRNA from 1 species